rnacentral:rRNA from 1 species
CCCGGCGACCGGCGCACGGGUGAGUAACACGUAUGCAACCUGGCCGCCACAGGGGGAUAACCCGCGGAAACGCGGCCUAAUACCCCGUGACGCCACCGGAGGGCAUCCUCCGGUGGCCAAAGGAGCGAUCCGGUGGCGGAUGGGCAUGCGGCGCAUUAGCUAGACGGCGGGGUGACGGCCCACCGUGGCGACGAUGCGUAGGGGUUCUGAGAGGAAGGCCCCCCACACUGGGACUGAGACACGGCCCAGACUCCUACGGAAGGCAGCAG